GACGAACGCUGGCGGCGUGCUUAACACAUGCAAGUCGAACGGAAAGGCCCUGCUUUUGUGGGGUGCUCGAGUGGCGAACGGGUGAGUAACACGUGAGUAACCUGCCCUUGACUUUGGGAUAACUUCAGGAAACUGGGGCUAAUACCGGAUAGGAGCUCCUGCUGCAUGGUGGGGGUUGGAAAGUUUCGGCGGUUGGGGAUGGACUCGCGGCUUAUCAGCUUGUUGGUGGGGUAGUGGCUUACCAAGGCUUUGACGGGUAGCCGGCCUGAGAGGGUGACCGGCCUCAUUGGGACUGAGAUACGGACCAGACUGCUACGGGAGGCAGCAGUGGGGAAUAUUGCACAAUGGGCGGAAGCCUGAUGCAGCAACGCCGCAUGCGGGAUGACGGCCUUCGGGUUGUAAACCGCUUUCGCCUGUGACGAAGCGUGAGUGACGGUAAUGGGUAAAGAAGCACCGGCUAACUACGUG
rnacentral:rRNA from 1 species